rnacentral:lncRNA from 1 species
UAGUGUGGGUGUGCACAAUUUUGGGUGCUAGACCAAGCAAGAUGGAGGAGAUUUAAAAAUCACACCAGAGAAGAUGAGAACUAAAACUAAAACUAAAAACUAAGAAUGGUCAGUCCUAGGAAAAAGUGUCUGCUAUGAUUGGUAGAAAAUUUAGUGGAAGUGACAUAAGAGAAAAUUCUCGUUAAAAGGAGGUCAACUGAAUUCAGUUGGGACUCUGAACUCAGUUCAGGUGUUCAGGAGUUCAGUGGAAGACUGGAGCUUGCUUGAGACGAUCUUGGGCAUCCUGAUUUAUUUUCCUUGGAGCUGGGCUGGUGAAAGCGAGUGAUGCUAACGCUGGAAUUGAAGCACAGCCCAAACGGCAG